AUGUCUCCACCGCCGGCGUCACCCGCGCUGUCGGCGCAGAAGCUGACGACCAACGACGCCCUGGCCUACCUCAAGGCCGUCAAGGACAAGUUCCACGACAACCGCGCCAAGUACGACGAGUUCCUCGAGGUCAUGCGCGACUUCAAGAGCGCCAGGAUCGACACGGCGGGCGUCAUCAUCCGGGUGAAGACGCUCUUCAGCGGCUACCCGGAGCUCAUCCUCGGCUUCAACGCCUUCCUGCCCAAGGGCUUCGCUAUCAAGCUGCAGGACAUCGACGGCACCGGCGACAAGAAGCAGCCCGUCGACUUCAUGGAGGCCAUCAACUUCGUCAACAAGAUCAAGGCCAGGUUCCAGGCCCAGGACCACGUCUACAAGGCAUUCCUCGCCAUCCUCAACAUGUACCGCAUGCACAACAAGUCCAUCCAGGACGUAUACCAGGAGGUUGCCACGCUGUUCCACGACCACCCCGACCUGCUCGAGGAGUUCAAGCAUUUCUUGCCUGAUACGUCCAACGCUCCGCAAGUGCUGGCCGCUCCUAAAGCCGUCUCCGCCAAACAGGAAGCCCCGGCCGUGCCUUCUGCCAGUGCCAGGAAUGUGCAGAGCAUCAAGAGAGAGAGGCCUCAGCCAUCAACUGCUGAGCGUGACAGCAGUGUUGAUCGCCCUGAUCUCGAGCAUGACCCUGACAGAAAGCGUGUCGACAAGGAAAAGGAUCGUAAGAUCGACCGGGACAGAAAAGAUCAUGACAAGGAUGCUGAGUUUGAAAGCAAAGAUUUGGACGGAGGGCUACGCAAGCGCAAAGCUUUCUCAAAGAAGCUGGAGGGUGACACACACCAAGGGGCGGCAAGCAUCUCUGCUUCGUCGUACAAUGAUAAUGAUGCACUGAAAAGUACAUACACCCAAGAGUUCCUUUUCUGUGAGAAAGUCAAGGAGAAGCUAGAGCCUGAAGCUUACCAGGAGUUUUUGAAAUGCCUUCACAUAUACAGCCAGGAAAUAAUUACAAGAAGUGAAUUGAAAAAUCUGGUACAUGACAUACUUCAGCGCUACCCAGAGCUUAUGACUGGAUUUAGCGAGUUCUUGGAACAUUGUGAAAACAUAGAUGGUUUUCUGGAUGGAGUCAUCAAUAAAAGGCAAACAUCACGAACAGUCAAGGCAUUGGAAAAAGAGAGAGAUAAAGGGCGUGCAGGGGAGGACAGGGAAAGAGAUGCUGAAAAACUGAGCGAAAAGGAACGAGAAAAGCUUGAUAAAGUGUCUGCGCUCAAUUCUAAGGAAGCCACUACCCACAAAGCUGCUGCGUUCUCUUCUACCAAAGAGAAGUACCUAUGCAAGCCAAUAUCAGAGCUUGACCUCUCAAACUGUCAGCGGUGCACUCCCAGUUACCGACUUUUGCCUAAAAAUUACCCCGUCCCUGCUUCAAGUUGCAGAACUGACCUUGGAAUCUCUGUGCUCAAUGAUCACUGGGUAUCAGUUACCUCAGGAAGCGAGGAUUAUUCAUUUAAACACAUGCGGAAGAAUCAGUAUGAAGAAAGCUUGUUUAGAUGCGAAGAUGACAGGUUUGAGUUGGACAUGCUGCUGGAAUCAGUUAAUGUGGCGAUUAAGCGUGUUGAGGAGUUGAUAGAAAAAAUGCAAGAAAAUUCAAUCAAACCAGACAGCCCUAUACGCAUCGAUGAACAUUUGACCUCUCUGAAUUUGAGGUGCAUAGAGCGGUUAUAUGGUGACCAUGGCCUUGAUGUCAUGGAUGUUCUUCGUAAAAAUGCGAGUGUGGCAUUACCAGUUAUUUUAACUAGGCUUAAGCAAAAGCAGGAGGAAUGGUCAAGGUGCAGGUCAGAUUUUAACAAGGUUUGGGCUGAAAUAUAUGCCAAGAAUUAUCACAAGUCCCUUGACCAUCGCAGUUUCUAUUUCAAACAACAAGAUUCGAAGAAUCUGAGCACAAGAGCUCUAUUGUCUGAGAUCAAAGAAAUUAAUGAGAAGAAAAGGAAGGAGGAUGAUGUGCUUCUUGCCAUUGCUGCUGGGAAUAGGCGGCCAAUAGUUCCCAAUAUGUCAUUUGAGUAUGUAGAUUCAGAAAUUCAUGAAGAUGUUUAUCAGAUCAUCAAGUACUCUUGUGGAGAGGUCUGCAGCUCUCCAGAUCAAGUUGACAAAGUGAUGAGAACCUGGACGACAUUUGUGGAACCUAUUUUGGGAGUUCAACCCCGAACUCCUGCCGUUGAAGAUGUAGGUGUGGUAAAAUCGAAGAGCCGAACCCCCACGACUGGUCUUGCAAGUGCAGGGGAAAGUAAUAAUGUAAUAUCAAACGGCGCAGUCACUGUUAAGCAAGCCAAUGGAGAUGAAAGCAUUCUGAAGGAACAAGCACAAUCUUCUCGUGGUUUAUUGGCGAAUGGAGUUUCAGAAGAUGCUCAAAAUGGUUUCCAUGAUGCUGAUCGAACUGUCCGCAGAGGUGAGGGGCCAUCUAACACUUCAUUACAUCAGACAGAACAGAAUCAGCGGAGAACAAAUAUGGAGCUUACAUCAGGUACUAAUUCUUCUAGAGGUAAUUUCUCUGGAAGUGAGUCUGUUGUUGAAGCUAUGGGUGGCAAUGAAACAAUUCCAUCUAUAGGGAGAGGAGAAGCUGGGAGGCCAGGAUCUGUGCCUCAGAAGAAUUCAAAGGUUGAAAGAGAAGAGGGAGAAUUAUCUCCUAAUGGGGAUUUUGAAGAGGAGAAUUUUGGGCCUCUAGGAAAUGCAGCUGUAGACGGAGCUUUGAAGCCGAAAGAAGUUUCUGCUGGUAGAACUAGAGCAGCUGAGUUUGCUGGAGAGAAUGACGCUGAUGCGGAUGAUGAAGGUGACGAAAGUGCCCAGAGAUCUACAGAAAGUGAAAAUGCAUCUGAGGCUGGCGAGGACGCUUCUGGUAGUGAAUCUGGUGACGGCGAGGAGUGUUCUCGGGAAGACAACGAGGACGAGGAGGAUGCUGAUCAUGAUGAUCCUGAUGCUAAGGUUGAAAGUGAGGGUGAGGCAGAGGGAAACACAGGCGCACAUGAUGCCGAUGGAGGGAUGUCACUAUCCUUUUCAGAGCGUUUGCAUAAUACAGUUAGACCACUCGCCAAGCAUGUCCCCACAGCAUUGCAGGAUCAUGGUGGGAAAUUUUCACGCAUAUUUUAUGGAAAUGAUUCAUUUUAUGUUCUGUUCAGGCUACACCAGAUCUUAUACGAGAGGCUCCUAUCAGCCAAGACAAACUCUUCUACAGCUGAAAAGAAGUGGAGAACUUCCAAGGAUACGAGCUCCCCACACCAAUACUCAAAGUUUAUGGGUGCACUUUAUAACUUGAUUGAUGGCUCUUCUGACAACACCAAAUUCGAGGACGACUGCCGUUCAAUCAUCGGGACUCAGUCCUAUGUUCUUUUUACAUUAGAUAAGCUGAUAUACAAAGUUGUGAAGCAGCUUCAAGCAAUAGCAGCUGAUGAAAUGGAUAACAAGCUCCUCCAGCUUUAUAUAUAUGAGAAGUCCAGGUCUCCUGGAAGGUUCUUUGAUCUAGUUUACCAUGAAAAUGCUCGGGUUCUUCUCCAUGACGAGAGCAUAUAUCGAUUUGAACGGCGCUCAAAUCCUACGAGAUUAUCUGUUCAGCUCAUGGAGUAUGGGCAUGAAAAGCCUGAAGUAACUGCAGUCUCAAUUGAUCCAAACUUUUCGUCAUAUCUUCAUGACGAGUACUUGUCGAGUAUUUCGGAUUCAAAAGUGUCUGAAGAUGUGUUCCUUGAGAGGAAUAAGCGGAAACGCGGGAGCAGCAAUGGUCCUCAAGCUUCCUUAGCGGUCAUGGAUGGUUUCAAGGUCGCGAAUGGCCUUGAAUGCAAGAUAACCUGCAAAUCCUCAAAGGUUUCAUAUGUCCUUGAUACAGAAGACUUUUUAUUCCGUAUGAGGAACAGGAGGAGAAUCUCAUCUGGUGCAACCGCCGCACCUGGCAAGGCCGAUUUUGUCAAGGCAGCUGAUGUCGUGAAAGCACAGCGGUUUCAUAAAUUUCUUCUUUCUAGGUCCUAG
rnacentral:rRNA from 1 species